rnacentral:tRNA from 1 species
CGGCAUGUAGCCUAGUGGUUAAAGCGUUGGGCCAGUAACCAAAAGAUUGCUGGAUCGAAUCCCCGAGCCGA